rnacentral:rRNA from 1 species
GACGAACGCUGGCGGCGUGCUUAACACAUGCAAGUCGAACGGAAAGGCCCUUCGGGGUACUCGAGUGGCGAACGGGUGAGUAACACGUGGGUGAUCUGCCCUGCACUUUGGGAUAAGCCUGGGAAACUGGGUCUAAUACCGAAUAUGACCGCGCUCUUCAUGGGGUGUGGUGGAAAGCUUUUGCGGUGUGGGAUGGGCCCGCGGCCUAUCAGCUUGUUGGUGGGGUAAUGGCCUACCAAGGCGACGACGGGUAGCCGGCCUGAGAGGGUGACCGGCCACACUGGGACUGAGAUACGGCCCAGACUCCUACGGGAGGCAGCAGUGGGGAAUAUUGCACAAUGGGCGCAAGCCUGAUGCAGCGACGCCGCGUGAGGGAUGACGGCCUUCGGGUUGUAAACCUCUUUCAAUAGGGACGAAGCGCAAGUGACGGUACCUAUAGAAGAAGGACCGGCCAACUACGUGCCAGCAGCCGCGGUAAUACGUAGGGUCCGAGCGUUGUCCGGAAUUACUGGGCGUAAAGAGCUCGUAGGUGGUUUGUCGCGUUGUUCGUGAAAACUCACAGCUUAACUGUGGGCGUGCGGGCGAUACGGGCAGACUAGAGUACUGCAGGGGAGACUGGAAUUCCUGGUGUAGCGGUGGAAUGCGCAGAUAUCAGGAGGAACACCGGUGGCGAAGGCGGGUCUCUGGGCAGUAACUGACGCUGAGGAGCGAAAGCGUGGGGAGCGAACAGGAUUAGAUACCCUGGUAGUCCACGCCGUAAACGGUGGGUACUAGGUGUGGGUUUCCUUCCUUGGGAUCCGUGCCGUAGCUAACGCAUUAAGUACCCCGCCUGGGGAGUACGGCCGCAAGGCUAAAACUCAAAGGAAUUGACGGGGGCCCGCACAAGCGGCGGAGCAUGUGGAUUAAUUCGAUGCAACGCGAAGAACCUUACCUGGGUUUGACAUGCACAGGACGCCAGUAGAGAUAUUGGUUCCCUUGUGGCCUGUGUGCAGGUGGUGCAUGGCUGUCGUCAGCUCGUGUCGUGAGAUGUUGGGUUAAGUCCCGCAACGAGCGCAACCCUUGUCUCAUGUUGCCAGCACGUAAUGGUGGGGACUCGUGAGAGACUGCCGGGGUCAACUCGGAGGAAGGUGGGGAUGACGUCAAGUCAUCAUGCCCCUUAUGUCCAGGGCUUCACACAUGCUACAAUGGCCGGUACAAAGGGCUGCGAUGCCGUGAGGUGGAGCGAAUCCUUUCAAAGCCGGUCUCAGUUCGGAUCGGGGUCUGCAACUCGACCCCGUGAAGUCGGAGUCGCUAGUAAUCGCAGAUCAGCAACGCUGCGGUGAAUACGUUCCCGGGCCU